CCAUGUGUAGCGGUGAAAUGCGUAGAUAUAUGGAGGANCACCGGUGGCGAAAGCGGCUCUCUGGCUUGUAACUGACGCUGAGGCUCGAAAGCGUGGGGAGCAAACAGGAUUGGAUACCCUGGUAGUNCACGCCGUAAACGAUGAGUGCUAGGUGUUAGACCCUUUCCGGGGUUUAGUGCCGCAGCUAACGCAUUAAGCACUCCGCCUGGGGAGUACGACCGCAAGGUUGAAACUCAAAGGAAUUGACGGGGGCCCGCACAAGCGGUGGAGCAUGUGGUUUAAUGCGAAGCAACGCGAAGAACCUUACCAGGUCUUGACAUCCCUCUGACCGCUCUAGAGAUAGAGCUUUCCUUCGGGACAGAGGUGACAGGUGGUGCAUGGUUGUCGUCAGCUCGUGUCGUGAGAUGUUGGGUUAAGUCCCGCAACGAGCGCAACCCCUAUUGUUAGUUGCCAUCAUUCAGUUGGGCACUCUAGCGAGACUGCCGGUAAUAAACCGGAGGAAGGUGGGGAUGACGUCAAAUCAUCAUGCCCCUUAUGACCUGGGCUACACACGUGCUACAAUGGCUGGUACAACGAGUCGCAAGCCGGUGACGGCAAGCUAAUCUCUUAAAGCCAGUCUCAGUUCGGAUUGUAGGCUGCAACUCGCCUACAUGAAGUCGGAAUCGCUAGUAAUCGCGGAUCAGCACGCCGCGGUGAAUACGUUCCCGGGCCUUGUACACACCGCCCGUCACACCACGAGAGUUUGUAACACC
rnacentral:rRNA from 1 species